AACGAACGCUGGCGGCAUGCCUAACACAUGCCAGUCGAACGAGACCUUCGGGUCUAGUGGCGCACGGGUGCGUAACGCGUGGGAACCUGCCCUUAGGUUCGGAAUAACUCCCCGAAAGGGGUGCUAAUACCGGAUAAUGUCUUCGGACCAAAGAUUUAUCGCCUUUGGAUGGGCCCGCGUUGGAUUAGCUAGUUGGUAGGGUAAAAGCCUACCAAGGCGACGAUCCAUAGCUGGUCUGAGAGGAUGAUCAGCCACACUGGGACUGAGACACGGCCCAGACUCCUACGGGAGGCAGCAGUGGGGAAUAUUGGACAAUGGGCGAAAGCCUGAUCCAGCAAUGCCGCGUGAGUGAUGAAGGCCUUAGGGUUGUAAAGCUCUUUUACCCGGGAUGAUAAUGACAUUACCGGGAGAAUAAGCUCCGGCUAACUCCGUG
rnacentral:rRNA from 1 species